rnacentral:lncRNA from 1 species
UAUAUUUGCCGCCAGUGACUCAAAUACCUUCUACCAGUAACACAUUUGAUGCUGUGAAACUUGGAUAUUUGCCACUGGUAACACUACUACUACUUCUAUCAUACUCCAAGGCCUAUCCAGCAGAACAAGACAAAAAAGAAAACAUCUGAGUUGGAAAAAACAAAAUAAAACCCUUUGCAGGUGAUUUGUGUGUACAGAAUGUUCUAAGGAAUCUAAUAAUUUAUUAUUAGAAUAAGAGAGUUUAAUGAGGAUGCAGCACACAAAAUCUACUUUAAAACUGCCUUUGUGGCCGGGCAGGGUGGCUCACGCCUGUAAUCCUAGCAGGUGUGAGCCAGGGCGGGCAGAUCCCUUGAGCCCAGGAGUUAGAGACCAGCCUGGGCAACAUGGUGAAACCCUGCCUCUACAAGAAAGAAAUACUUAAACACUACAUUCAUGUUUACAUACAAGUUUCUACAAUUACUUUUGCAUAAAAUCGUAAAAGAAUCAACAAUAAAAAAAAGUGCAACAAAAUUCUGGGUACACAUCCAGAUUGCAAGGAAUAAAGGCAAAAGCAGGUAAUAAUGAAGCCAAGGUGGUGAGUGAUGAUCGUUUCUUUCAUAAGUCAGGUACUGGUGGGACAGCGUGAGGAUGAUAAUUCAAAGGGGCAGAUAGGGUGGAAGGAAAGACUUGAGGUUGAUAAAACCUGAGCAAACUUAGAAGACUGAAAGAGUCUGU